rnacentral:rRNA from 1 species
UGGGGAAUUUGGACAAUGGGCGAAAGCCUGAUCCAGCAAUGUCGCGUGUGUGAAGAAAGGCCUUCGGGUUGUAAAAGCACUUUUGUCCGGAAAGAAAUCCUUGGCUCUAAUACAGUCGGGGAUGACGGUACCGGAAGAAUAAGCACCGGCUAACUACGUGCUAGCAGCCGCGGUAAUACGUAGGGUGCAAGCGUUAAUCGGAAUUACUGGGCGUAAAGCGUGCGCAGGCGGUUUGCUAAGACCGAUGUGAAAUCCCCGGGCUCAACCUGGGAACUGCAUUGGUGACUGGCAGGCUAGAGUAUGGCAGAGGGGGGUAGAAUUCCAGCGUGUAGCAGUGAAAUGCGUAGAGAUGUGGAGGAAUACCGAUGGCGAAGGCAGCCCCUGGGCCAAUACUGACGCUCAUGCACGAAAAGCGUGGGGAGCAAACAGGAUUAGAUACCCUGGUAGUCCACGCCCUAAAACGAUGUCAACUAGUUGUUGGGGAUUCAUUUUCCUUAGUAACGUAGCUAACGCGUG